AUUGAACGCUGGCGGCAUGCCUUACACAUGCAAGUCGAACGGUAACAGGUCUUCGGAUGCUGACGAGUGGCGAACGGGUGAGUAAUACAUCCGAACGUGCCUAGUAGUGGGGGAUAACUACUCGAAAGAGUGGCUAACACCGCAUGAGAUCUACGGAUGAAAGCAGGGGAUCGCAAGACCUUGUGCUACUAGAGCGGCCGAUGGCAGAUUAGGUAGUUGGUGGGAUAAAAGCUUACCAAGCCGACGAUCUGUAGCUGGUCUGAGAGGACGAUCAGCCACACUGGGACUGAGGCACGGCCCAGACUCCUACGGGAGGCAGCAGUGGGGAAUUUUGGACAAUGGGCGCAAGCCUGAUCCAGCAAUGCCGCGUGCAGGAUGAAGGCCUUCGGGUUGUAAACUGCUUUUGUACGGAACGAAAAGCCCUGGGUUAAUACCCUGGGGUCAUGACGGUACCGUAAGAAUAAGCACCGGCUAACUACGUGCCAGCCGCCGCGGUAA
rnacentral:rRNA from 1 species